rnacentral:rRNA from 1 species
CGGGACGGGUGGAGUAACGACGUGGGUAACCGUCGCCUCAUACAGGGGGAGUAACAGUUAGAAAUGACUGCUAAAACCGCAUAAGCGCACAUUGUCGAGUGGCAGAGUGUGAAAAACUCCGGUGGUAUGAGAUGGACCCGCGUCUGAUUAGCUAGUUGGUGAGGUAACGGCCCACCAAGGCGACGAUCAGUAGCCGGCCUGAGAGGGCGACCGGCCACAUUGGGACUGAGACACGGCCCAAACUCCUACGGGAGGCAGCAG